UUACUGGUCUUUAUUGUUCUUUCGUUUUGGUUUGGAUUCUAUUAACAUUUGUCCUUAACUUUGUGGAACAAUUUAAAGCACGUUUAUUUUUAUUUAUUUAUUGUUUGGCUAGUUCAGCAAUCAAAAGAAACUUCCCAAUCUGAGUCUAUGAAGAAAAUGUAUAAAUUCUUCCAUUUAGUUGGCAGUCAUUGGCCAUUAAGACAGUUGUUGAUUGAAUCCCAGCCUUUGUUUGUUUUUUUCUCUUACAAUGACCAAAAUUAGCUUCAUAUACAGCCCAUAUUCCCCAUUGGAAUGGCACAUAUUCCCAGUUUACCCAAUAUAAUAUCCUGUUUUUUGUCUUUUUUCCCAGAGUUAACCAAAUGCCCUGUAAAAGAUGAAGAGAGCAACUUUUCCGCAUCUGAAGUGUCAAAGAUGAACAACACCAACAGGACCGAGUCAUCUGGUUCCAGCAUGACCCCACUGCAGAUUGCUGCUGCUGUUGCUGUUCCUGCUGUUGUUGUUGGUGCCGGUGCCAUUGCAUACUGCGUCUGGAAGGCCCUUCGAUUGCAGGGGCACAGGGAGCCACAGCUGGGAGGGACAGACCCACAGAGACAGCCCCAGGCACAGGACAAAAACGAAAUGGAGCUGGAAGACAGGAAUGAUGCCUCAGUAGAGUGCUCCUCUCGGUCCAUGGAGACACAGGGCCAGGAUGCCAGUGAUGGGGCUGCAGGCCAAGGGGCUGAGGAUGGGGAUGGGGAGGGGGGUGAGGAUGAGG